CUCUUUUUGCCUGCUGCCAUCCACGUAAGAUGUGACUUGCACCUCCUUGUCUUCUGCCACGAUUGUGAGGCUUCCCCAGCCAUGUGGAACUACAUCUACCCCUGGAGAAAGAGCCCAAUGAGAAGUAAUCUCUGAAGCCCAGAUUUCCUAAGGAUGAAGCUUCAGGAGAGGCCUUAUCAAUCCUGACAACAAACUUUUCUCGUCAAUUUAGUUUCAUUUAAUGGAAGUUUUAAAUGUGUAAAGUUCAGAAGGCUAUUAAAAUUGGUUCCAGCUAUCUAAGAUACACACACAACCACACACGCGCACACACGGUAGAGAUAAAUAUGUUCGAAAAUCCAGCUCAAUGUUACUAGAAAAUUUGAUCAGAAUCUGGUGAAAUAAAUAGUAAACUUACUAAAAAUGCCAAAUAUCCCAGAAGCUGCUUAACAUUUGAUCAAAAGCUCUGUCCAGUCAAUUCCUGCUUCUUUCAAAAAUACUCUGCUGAAAAGCCAAAGGAGAAAUGGGGCUGGUACCUUCAAUAUAGAGAAUUCCAAGUAAGAUUAGAUCCCAGAAGGCUUAGUGUGGCUUUCUAGGACUCUCACUAUUAGGCAGUAACCUACCAUUCACCUCUGUUUCCCAGAUUCACCUUGUUAUACCUUAUAACUUAAAAUAUAAAUUCCAACAAUGUACUGCACUCAAAAAAAUUAUUUCUCAAUUUGUUUGCUCAUACUAUUGAUUUUUUUCUAGAAUCUAAAUAAUUGUGAAUUAACUAUGAUAGCAGUAUGCACAAACAGUAAGUGAAAUCAGACCUAUUAAUUCUGAGAGGAAGGAGGUGUCAGGAUUUUCACAGAAGAAGAGCACUAAGGCCAGGCGCAGUGGCUCAUGCCUGUAAUCCCAGCACUUUGGGAGGCUGAGGCAGGCGGAUCAGGAGGUCAGGAGUUCUAGACCAGCCAGACAAACAUGGUGAAACCCCGUCUCUACUAAAAAUACAAAAAUUACACGCCUGUAAUCCCAGCUACUCAGGAGGCUGAGGCAGAAGAAUCGCUUAAACCCGGGAGGCGGAGGUUGCAGUGAGCUGAGAUCGCGCGACUGCACUCCAGCUUGGGCGACAGAGCAAGACUCCAUCAAAAAAAAAAAAAAAAA
rnacentral:lncRNA from 10 species